UUUACCGGCCUGGGAUCCCAUGGGAGCAUUAGCCAAGCUCUGAGUGGUAGCUAGUGAUUGAACUCUGGUGACAUGUUUCUUACUGAACUGAAGGGACUUAUGUUUCUUACAAAACUGUAGGGACAUGUUUUUACCAGAACAAUAACAUUAUAUCUAUAAAAAUCAGUAUUCUCUGCAAUAUUUGUUGAAUUACUGUCGAUAUACAAUUAUGUGUUGUCUUUGAUUUCCUUUUAAUUUCUUAUUUACAACCGUAAGAGGAACAAUAUCAUAGGAUUCUUUUAGUACCAUAUUUUACCAGUAUAUCAAAAAAUAUUUACAAGUUAUUUUUAUAUUUGAUUUACAUAUAAUUUUCUCAAAGAAAUUGAAAAAAGAAUGUGUACAUCGAUCUGGGACUGUAGUAUUAUAUUUACAUGUAUUCAUGCAGGGCCACUUAUACUUACAUGUUAUAUAUGAACCUGACUUUUCAAUAUGUACAGCAUAGGUAUCGCCCAAGAUUGAGGUUGAUUGGUCUUUGAGAAAUGAAUGCAAAAAUUGUCUUUUGAUAAAGAAUUAUGUAUACUUUGUAAUACUGAUAGAUUUUUUUUCAAUCAUUAAUUUUUUUCAAUUUUACAAAUACAUGUAUGUUUAAAAGUAUACGUAUAUUUGAUUGAGAUUAAAAUGGAAAAUUUAUA
rnacentral:misc_RNA from 1 species